rnacentral:rRNA from 1 species
UGGGGAAUUUUGGACAAUGGGCGAAAGCCUGAUCCAGCAAUGCCGCGUGUGUGAAGAAGGCCUUCGGGUUGUAAAGCACUUUUGUCCGGAAAGAAAUCCUUGGCUCUAAUACAGUCGGGGGAUGACGGUACCGGAAGAAUAAGCACCGGCUAACUACGUGCCAGCAGCCGCGGUAAUACGUAGGGUGCAAGCGUUAAUCGGAAUUACUGGGCGUAAAGCGUGCGCAGGCGGUUUGCUAAGACCGAUGUGAAAUCCCCGGGCUCAACCUGGGAACUGCAUUGGUGACUGGCAGGCUAGAGUAUGGCAGAGGGGGGUUAGAAUUCCACGUGUAGCAGUGAAAUGCGUAGAGAUGUGGAGGAAUACCGAUGGCGAAGGCAGCCCCCCUGGGGCCAAUACUGACGCUCAUGCACGAAAAGGCGUGGGGGAGCAAAACAGGAUUAGAUACCCUGGGUAGUCCACGCCCUAAACGAUGUCAACUAGUUGUUGGGGAUUCAUUUCCUUAGUAACGUAGCUAACGCGUGAAGUUGACCGCCUGGGGAGUACGGUCGCAAGAUU